AAACUUUCAACAACGGAUCUCUUGGUUCUGGCAUCGAUGAAGAACGCAGCGAAAUGCGAUAAGUAAUGUGAAUUGCAGAAUUCAGUGAAUCAUCGAAUCUUUGAACGCACAUUGCGCCCCCUGGUAUUCCGGAGGGCAUGCCUGUUCGAGCGUCAUUU
rnacentral:rRNA from 1 species